GAUGAACGCUGGCGGCGUGCCUAAUACAUGCAAGUCGAGCGAACGGACGAGAAGCUUGCUUCUCUGAUGUUAGCGGCGGACGGGUGAGUAACACGUGGAUAACCGACCUAUAAGACUGGGAUAACUUCGGGAAACCGGAGCUAAUACCGGAUAAUAUUUUGAACCGCAUUGUUCAAAAGUGAAAGACGGUCUUGCUGUCACUUAUAGAUGGAUCCGCGCUGCAUUAGCUAGUUGGUAAGGUAACGGCUUACCAAGGCAACGAUGCAUAGCCGACCUGAGAGGGUGAUCGGCCACCCGGGAACUGAGACACGGUCCAGACUCCUACGGGAGGCAGCAGUAGGGAAUCUUCCGCAAUGGGCGAAAGCCUGACGGAGCAACGCCGCGUGAGUGAUGAAGGUCUUCGGAUCGUAAAACUCUGUUAUUAGGGAAGAACAUAUGUGUAAGUAACUGUGCACAUCUUGACGGUACCUAAUCAGAAAGCCACGGCUAACUACGUG
rnacentral:rRNA from 1 species